rnacentral:tRNA from 1 species
UUGAUCUCUAUUGAAUAGGUUCGAGUCCUAUUUUUUUAGGAA